rnacentral:lncRNA from 10 species
CUCAUCUCCUUUGCUAGACUGUAAGCCCGAUGGGGAGGAAAGUCUGAAGAGGAACCUCUGCUUCACUUUCUACAGCGCCACCUGGGGCCAGCACCUCCACUCGGACCACAAGUGCACAAGGGCCCCCCUUAUGCCAGCAUCAGGGGCUGCUGGGCACCCCAAGGAAACCACCACCUUAUGGGGGUGAUUCCAAACACAGCAGGAUUUGGGGUGUGGUCAAUGCAGCCCUCAAACCAGAUGAAAAGGGAUGAAACGGUUGCGUGGAGAGUCCUCAGCACACUGUCUGACACCACAGGCUCACGCAGGCACAUGUGCCCGCCACACAACCAUUCAUAGGCCACAUUCCAGCAAGGCUUUUGGCUGCAAAUAACAGAACCCUCACUAGCAGUGGCUUCAACAGGCAGGGUUUAUUUUCUUACGCUUGGAGCUCUCCAGGUAGGCAGCUGGAGACACUGGGUUAGCAGCUGCAACUCCAAGAUCAAGGGACCUUUGCCCAGCACUGAAAAAUGGGAGCCCAUUAGGAAGGAGGUGGCUGUUUGGUAGCAACGAACGGUGUCUGCCACGGGGAGGUGUCUGAACGCCCGGAAGGUGUGCUCCUCUCACUUGGCCAACAAUGGAGGCAGAGCGUUGCCGUUGAAGGGAACAGCCAGGCCACCCCCUAAGACUGGGGGGAAGGGGGUGUGGGUGGAGGCCUCAAGGGCAAACUGGGUCACUGUAAGGGGUUUGGAUUUUCUUCUGAGAAGCCUGCGAAAUUUUGAGCAGGAAUAGAUGCUCAAGCCCAGCCUGAUGUUUUAUUUGUUUAUUUGCAGACAGGGUCUCACUCUGUCCCCGAGGCUGGAGUGCAGUGGUACAAUUAUAGCUCACUACAGCCUCGACCUAGUGGGCUGAAGUGAUUCUCCCACCUCAACCUCCCAAAUUGCUAGGACAAAUGCUACCACGCCUGGCUAAUUAAAACAAAUAUUGUUGGCCAGGUGUGGUGGUUCACACCUGUAAUCCCAGCACUUUGGGAGGCUGAGGCGGGUGGAUCACCUGAGGUCAGGAGUUUGAGACCAGCCUGGCCAACAUGGUGAAAUCUUGUCUCUAUUAAAUAAAAAAAAAUUAGCUGGGCAUGGCAGCACACACCUGUAGUUCCAGCUACUAGGGAGGCUGAGGCAGGAGAAUCCCUGGAACCCGGGAGGCGGAGGUUGCAGUGAGCGGAGAUGGUACCACUGCACUCUAGCCUGGGCGACAGAGCGAGACUCCGUCUCAAAAAAAAAAAAAAAAAAAAAAAAAAAAAAAAAAAAAAAACAAAAACAAAUCUUUAGAGCUGGGGUCUCACUAUGUUGCCCAGGCUGGUCUGAAUUCCUGGCCUCAGGCAUCCUCUCACCUCAGCCUCCCAAAGCACUGGGAAUACAGGAGUGAAUCGCCGUGUGCAGCCUAACAGAUUUUUUGUUUUUUGAGACAGAGUUUUUCUCUUGUUGCCCAGGCUGGAGUGCAAUGGUGCGAUCUCGGCUCACUGCAACCACCGCCUCCCAGGUUCAAGUGAUUCUCCAGCCUCAGACUCCCAAGUAGCUGGGAUUACAGGGAUGCACCACUACACCUGGCUAAUUUUGUAUUUUUAGUAGAGAUGGGGUUUCUCCAUGUUGGUCAGGCUGGUCUCGAACUCCCGACCUCAGGUGAUCCACCCGCCUCGGCUUCCUAAAGUGCUGGGAUUACAGGCGUGAGCCACCGUGCCCAGCCAACAGAUAUUUUUAAGAGAUCACUUUGUCUGCUGGGUGGAGAAUCGUUAGUAGUGGGUCAAAAGGUGAAGGCAGGAGACAGAAGUGUGGGCACAGGUGAAAUGCAGAGGCCUGGGAGGGUGGAGGGGCCCCAGAGGAGCCGUCUCAGGGCCUGCUGCUGUGCCUUCCUAGGAGCCAGCAGGGGCUCCAGGCACUUUGCAUCUUCUGAGUCUUCUGGCCCUCACACCCUCCCACCCUCCCACCCCGUUCCUGGCACUCAAAGGCACGUGGCGCUGCUCCUGUGAACAGAUGUGCCCAUGUCCUUGAGGCUGACGUGUGCCUGUGUGCACUGACCCACGCAGAUCACCAAGGCGCCAGGGCAGCUUCCAGAGCCACGACACCAGGGUUCAAAUCCCAGCCCAACCUCUUUCUGGCUGGGUGAUCUUGUACAAGUCCUGAACCUCUCUGCACCUCAGUUUCCUCAUUCGUACCACAGGGGACCGGCACCAGCACACAGCAUUACCCCAGGAUUGGACGAAUUGUCACAUCUGCAAGUCUCCACUGGUGUUAUUACGUUAUCAGGCACAAACCCCCUCCAGACACCUGAGCCU